UCUCCUACGGGAGGCAGCAGUGGGGAAUAUUGCGCGAUGGGCGAAAGCCUGACGCAGCGACGCCGCGUGAGGGAUGAAGGUCUUCGGAUCGUAAACCUCUGUCAGCAGGGAAGAACGGUCACUGUGCUAAUCAGCAGUGAAUUGACGGUACCUGCAAAGGAAGCACCGGCUAACUCCGUGCCAGCAGCCGCGGUAAUACGGAGGGGGCGAGCGUUAAUCGGAAUUACUGGGCGUAAAGCGCUCGUAGGCGGUCUUUCAAGUCAAGCGUGAAAUCCUCGCGCUCAACG
rnacentral:rRNA from 1 species